UGCUCUUCCCAGUUUCGAAUUAUCAAUUUGUUUAUGGGGAAGCUGUCUCGUGUUUGCAUUCUGUAUUUAAUUUUGUGAAGUAUAAUUCGGUAAUAUAGUGUGCAUCUCAUUUGUAUUUAAAUUUUGAAAAUUUCUACUGAUUCUGAUUAGAAAUAUAGUCACAUUAAAAAAAGAAAACUAUUGCUAUUUAAUAAUUACAUUUAUCAUGCCGGUAAAAGAUCGUAUUGCGACAAUUAAACGUCAUCUUUCGGGAAGCCAAGUAGAAAAUGAAAUAUCUGAAGAUUCAAAACGCACUAUUCCAAAACGAAGGCAAGAAUUGUUGAAAUGGAAUGGUUGGGGCUACAAGGAUUCACGAUUUCAUCUAAAUAAUAAAGUAAACCAAGUUGCAUUUUCUGGUGACAGGUAUCCUAUAGGCAAUAAAAUUUUGCCUAAUUUCAAAUCAUGGGUUGAAAAUACAUUUGCCAUCGACUUAUUAAAAGUACAUUUCCCUGCUCAGGCAGAAAUAAAAGAUGAAGAUAUACCAAAGCCAAUUAUUAAUGACAAAUUUAUGGAAGAUUUUAAACAGCUUGGAAUAGAUUAUUCUGUGGACUCUCAGGAUCGUCUUUUCAGAGCUCAUGGUCAUACUAUGAGAGAAAUUUUUAUUUUAAGAGAAAGUGUUUUUGAAAGAGUACCAGAUAUAGUAAUUUGGCCUAGAUGCCAUGAUGAUGUCUUAAAUAUUGUUCAGUGUGCCACUGAGCACAAUGUCGCAAUAAUACCUUUUGGUGGUGGAACCAGUGUAUCUGGUGGUGUUGAGUGUCCAGCUCAUGAAAAAAGAAUGAUAAUUUCGCUUGAUACAUCUCAAAUGAAUAGAAUUUUAUGGGUAAACAAAGAUAAUAAUACAGCUCUGGUGGAAGCUGGUAUUAUUGGACAAGAUUUAGAACGAGAACUAGCAAAAUUUGGCCUGUGUACAGGACAUGAACCAGAUUCAUAUGAAUUUAGUUCCCUUGGUGGCUGGGUUGCAACUAGAGCUUCAGGUAUGAAAAAGAAUAUAUAUGGUAACAUAGAGGACAUGCUGGUACAUGUGAGAAUGGUUACUCCCAGUGGAGAAGUGCAGAAAAAUUGCCAAGUGCCUAGAAUAUCUAGUGGUCCUGAUAUUCACCAAUUUAUUCUUGGAUCUGAAGGUACUCUAGGUGUUGUUACUGAAGUAAUUAUCCGAGUGCGUCCUAUUCCAGCAUGUGUGAAGUAUGGAUCCAUUGUUUUUCCAUCUUUUGAACCAGGUGUUGCCUUUCUUAGAGAAGUUGUACGCCAGCAACUGAAACCUGCAUCCAUUAGACUUAUGGACAAUGAGCAAUUCACAUUUGGUCAUGCCUUAAAACCAGAGUCAACAUCAUUGGUUGCUUCAGUUAUGGAUUAUCUUAAAAAGUUCUAUGUAACUCAAAUUAAAGGAUUUGAUAUUCAUAAAAUGUGUGUUGUCACUCUACUCAUGGAAGGAACUAAAGAGGAUGUUGAUGCUUUGGAAAGGCGCAUCAUUAGUAUUGCUGCUAAAUUUGGUGGUCUUGCUGCUGGAGAAGACAAUGGAAAAAGAGGCUAUAUGCUUACAUUUGUUAUAGCUUAUAUUCGAGAUCUUGGUUUGGAGUAUGGUGUAGUAUCAGAAUCCUUUGAGACAUCGGUACCAUGGGAUCGAGUUACUGAUUUGUGUAGAAAUGUAAAAGAUAGAAUACACAGAGAAGUGCACAGCCACGGAAUACAGUAUCCAGCAUUUGCUUCUUGUCGUGUUACACAAUCCUAUGAUGUUGGUGCAUGUGUGUAUUUUUAUUUUGCAUUUGGUUACAUAGGAGUUUCAGAUCCAGUUCAUACAUAUGAAAGUAUAGAGUAUUGUUUUGGGAAAAUUUAAAGAGUAUUUAUGAAAACUGCUGCACGAGAUGAAAUUAUUGCUAGUGGAGGUAGUAUUUCUCAUCAUCAUGGAGUUGGGAAAUUAAGAAAACGGUGGCUUCCACAGACAAUAUCCAAUACCGGUGUCCAAAUGCUGAAGGCCGUUAAAGAUAG
rnacentral:misc_RNA from 1 species